rnacentral:pre_miRNA from 1 species
GGCCCAAAUCUGAAGCAGGUCAGAUUAGUAAGGCCAGCUGAUCCUACUAUACUACUGUACUUCGAAACUGGGCCC